GACGAACGCUGGCGGCGUGCCUAAUACAUGCAAGUCGAACGCAUUUUCUUUCACCGUAGCUUGCUACACCGAAAGAAAAUGAGUGGCGAACGGGUCAGUAACACGUGGGUAACCUGCCCAUCAGCGGGGGAUAACACUUGGAAACAGGUGCUAAUACCGCAUAAUUCCAUUUACUGCAUGGUAGAUGGAUGAAAGGCGCUUUUGCGUCACUGAUGGAUGGACCCGCGGUGCAUUAGCUAGUUGGUGGGGUAACGGCCUACCAAGGCUGCGAUGCAUAGCCGACCUGAGAGGGUGAUCGGCCACACUGGGACUGAGACACGGCCCAGACUCCUACGGGAGGCAGCAGUAGGGAAUCUUCGGCAAUGGACGCAAGUCUGACCGAGCAACGCCGCGUGAGUGAAGAAGGUUUUCGGAUCGUAAAACUCUGUUGUUAGAAAAGAACAAGGAUGAGAGUGGAAAGUUCAUCCCUUGACGGUAGCUAACCAGAAAGCCACGGCUAACUACGUG
rnacentral:rRNA from 1 species